rnacentral:rRNA from 1 species
GACAGAGGUGCCAAGCGUUAGGCGGAAUCACUGGGCUUAAAGCGUGUGUAGGCGGAUUGGUAAGUACCUUGUGAAAUCCCACAGCUCAACUGUGGAACUGCUUGGUAUACUGCCUGUCUUGAGCCACUUAGGGGCUGUCGGAACAAGCGGUGGAGCGGUGAAAUGCGUAGAUAUCGCUUGGAACGCCAAUGGUGAAAACAGACAGCUGGGAGUGUGCUGACGCUGAGGUGCGAAAGCGUGGGGAGCAAACAGG